AACGUAGGAGACAAACGUUAUCCGGAGUUACUGGGCGUAAAGGGCUCGUAGGCGGCCAACUAAGUCGGAUGUGAAAUCCCCAGGCUUAACCUGGGAACUGCAUCCGAUACUGGAUGGCUUGAAUCCGGGAGAGGGAUGCGGAAUUCCAGGUGUAGCGGUGAAAUGCGUAGAUAUCAGGAAGAACACCCGUGGCGAAAGCGGCUCUCUGGAACGGUACUGACGCUGAGACGCGAAAGCGUGGGGAGCGAACAGG
rnacentral:rRNA from 1 species